rfam:Phlebia centrifuga strain FBCC195 PHLCENscaffold_1406, whole genome shotgun sequence.
GGACCUGUGGCGCAGCGGUAGCGCGUGAGAUUCCAAUUGUUGGUUCUUCCAAUUCUGGUACCUUGCGGUCAUCCGUUCAAAUCGGGUCAGGUUCA